rnacentral:sRNA from 1 species
ACGUACCGCGCCUACGCUGCGAUUCCGAUCGCGCCGUCCACGCCCACCCGACGACUGCUCGUUACGUUCUGUUUUCC